UACCAUGCAGUCGAGCGGUAACAUCGGUAGCUUGCUACCAGAUGACGAGCGGCGGACGGGUGAGUAAUGCUUAGGAAUCUACCUAGUAGUGGGGGAUAGCUCGGGGAAACUCGAAUUAAUACCGCAUACGUCCUACGGGAGAAAGCAGGGGAUCUUUGGACCUUGCGCUAUUAGAUGAGCCUAAGUCGGAUUAGCUAGUUGGUGGGGUAAAGGCCUACCAAGGCGACGAUCUGUAGCUGGUCUGAGAGGAUGAUCAGCCACACUGGGACUGAGACACGGCCCAGACUCCUACGGGAGGCAGCAGUGGGGAAUAUUGGACAAUGGGGGGAACCCUGAUCCAGCCAUGCCGCGUGUGUGAAGAAGGCCUUUUGGUUGUAAAGCACUUUAAGCAGUGAAGAAGAAGUUAUGGUUAAUACCCAUAAUGGAUGACAUUAGCUGCAGAAUAAGCGCCGGCUAACUCUGUGCCAGCAGCCGCGGUAA
rnacentral:rRNA from 1 species